UUUCCGUAGGUGAACCUGCGGAAGGAUCAUUAUUGUAUAACCGAGGCGCGAGGGCUGUCGCUGACCCGAAAGGUCGUGCACGCCCGAGUGCCCUCACACACAUCCAUCUCACCCCUAUGUGCACCACCGCGUGGGUCCCCCUUUGGCUUGUUCGGAGGGGGGCUUACGCUUUCACACAAACUUUGUAUGCAGUGUAGAAUGUAUUUUUUGUUCUUGCGAUCACGCAAUCAAUACAACUUUCAACAACGGAUCUCUUGGCUCUC
rnacentral:misc_RNA from 1 species